rnacentral:rRNA from 1 species
GAUGAACGCUGGCGGCGUGCCUAAUACAUGCAAGUCGAGCGAACGGACGAGAAGCUUGCUUCUCUGAUGUUAGCGGCGGACGGGUGAGUAACACGUGGAUAACCUACCUAUAAGACUGGGAUAACUUCGGGAAACCGGCGCUAAUACCGGAUAAUAUUUUGAACCGCAUGGUUCAAAAGUGAAAGACGGUCUUGCUGUCACUUAUAGAUGGAUCCGCGCUGCAUUAGCUAGUUGGUAAGGUAACGGCUUACCAAGGCAACGAUGCAUAGCCGACCUGAGAGGGUGAUCGGCCACACUGGAACUGAGACACGGUCCAGACUCCUACGGGAGGCAGCAGUAGGGAAUCUUCCGCAAUGGGCGAAAGCCUGACGGAGCAACGCCGCGUGAGUGAUGAAGGUCUUCGGAUCGUAAAACUCUGUUAUUAGGGAAGAACAUAUGUGUAAGUAACUGUGCACAUCUUGACGGUACCUAAUCAGAAAGCCACGGCUAACUACGUG